rnacentral:rRNA from 1 species
AGUCUGAUCUAGCCAUGCCGCGUGCAGUGAUGACUGCCCUAUGGAUGGUAAGCUGCUUUCUAUACAGGAAGAA